AGCAAGCGGCCGAAACAGAAGAGGGGUGAGGAAGGAGGCGCGGGUGUUAGGGGAGAGUUGCUCGGUGUGCUGCCACACUCAGAAUGGAGUCGAGUGCCAGAGAGUCGGUUGUCCGUGUAUUUCAGGCGGCACGGGCCACUGCACUACCCCUACUACUUGUCGCGCCGACACUCUGUUCUGGAAUACUAGGCAGACACUAACGUAUGUCCUCGGAAUCCGCUUUUGAGCUUGCUAUAAGGAACAAAGAAAAGGAAAAAGGAAGAAAGAUGGAAGGAACGAAUACCGUGCUAUACCGUAAAACUAUUUCCAGCGAAGCGCCGAUCAUGAUAACUGAUAAGGUUUGGGGAAUGCAGCGGGAGAAGAAAACGACACCAAUCUAGAAUCUACUUUUCUGUUAUAUAUACGUCAACUGUUGGUAGUUGUUACUCGCGGAGGCACCAUUAACCCUUUCAGUGGACGCAAUAGAGUGGUUACAUUUCCGGAAUGCCGAGGCUGUCUAUCUUACCACGGAAUUAUUCCCGAAUUACUUUCACAAUUUAUAUACAUAAUAAUUCUAAUAACAACCUCGUUCCUCUCUCUCUUCGCUAAUAAAAAAGGAAUGCGAUAUAAUUAGAAUCAAUUUUCAAUUAUUCAUUUUAUAUAAAACAAUAUCUAAUCUUGGGAACAAGUUGCAACAGUGUGCACCUUAAUUGACGUCAUUCAGAGCAUACGCACGUGAGCAGAAGCAACCUCCAAUUAUAAGAUAGAUAAUAAAUGUUAUAAACACAAUUCAGGAUUCAAAUUGAGUAAUUUAAUUAACGAAGAACCGGUGACUGUAUUCUGUUAACGAUUUCACGAAUGCUUCAGGUCUGAAUCAUCCGAGCUUGUUCGUAGGUCGAUCAGAGUGUGAACGCGCGACGAUAAAUGCAGGCCAAUCGCGGUUGAAAUUGAGCGAUUCAAUUAAUGAGGAGCUGUGGAAAGAGCAGGAGCAAGGUCUACGAAGAAAAAGCUAACCGGACGGCGGAAGGAAUAAAUAGCACGGCAAGGAAAGCAAAACGAAGCGAUAGAACGCCUGCCAGAUGUACAAAUCAAACGCGCGAUCGGGAAUUCUUCGUAAUUUCUUGCAAACGCGAAGCCAGUUUCGUGACUCGAAAAUUACUCGGUCGACGUUGCUUCAUGCUCUCUUCCCUGAAAUUAAACGCGUCUCGCACGUCAUUAACGUUCUCUUGCAUAAUCAGAAUUAAUUAUCGAUUAUUUGCCAAUUUUAAGCCAAAGUCUUGUCUUUAAUUAUAACAUCUGCUCUACGGUAAUCGAAAUGCACUAUUUUAUAUCAUAAAUAAUCUGUAUUUAAAAAGUUUAUUAAGACCAGUGUCUUUUGAACUUAGAAGUUGAACAAUGCCUUCUGUAAAGUAAUCUAUCCUAACCUCAAUCAACUCUUCCACUCUCUGCAGUUGUGCAUAAGCAACACUAUACUUUAAAAUAUUAUUAGCUAGUAAAACAAUAAAUGUAUAUAUUUACGGUAAAACUGACGCUAAUUUUAGUGCAUUAUAUAUUCUUUGUAAGGAGAUUAGAAGAGAAGUAUUUCUAUUGAUACAUUAGUAAAAGGAUUACCAACAUCGACUGGGACUUUAAUUACCAACAUCUUAAUUUCAAUCAUUAAUUACAAUCUAAACUAUGAAAAACAAGAUUCGAACUUUAUUAUGUGUACCAUAAAGGCACCUCGCCACGCCUUUAAAAUAAUACACAAGAACAAAAAAAAAGUAGGUUAGAAAGUAUGAAACGUAAAAUGUCUGCAUGCGUCAGAACUGACCUAACCUCCAACGCCUGAAGAUUAAUAACAUCUCGCUAAAACUUCAAUUUUAUCAAUGUUUUCGUUUCAAUUAAUUUCAAUAAAUUACAAUUCCAGAACUAUUAAAAUCAAGAUUGUAGCGUUUCCAUGUUUAGCAUAAAGAUACCGCAACCCCUGUAGAGGGUCCCCGUCGGGAUUCAAUCGUGUGUGCCAUCACGUCGUGUACGUGCGCAGCGAAAAAUUCAAAGACGCGGCACUCGGUCAUUCACGCGACGGCACCACGAUCGAGUCGAGGCAGAAAAGGAACGCGUCACGCAGGAGGCGGGAAAUAGAGAAGUCACGAGCAGACAGAGAAAGAAGAGAGAGGCAGAGGCGCAGUUAGAGAGAGAUGCCCCGACGACUCUUGGCCUCCCAGAUGCGUAAAAGCGGGGCGCCGACUCGGGAUUCCUCAUAAUUUCUUCCCCGUUGGGACGCAAACCGGCCUCGUCACUCAUCGCGCUUUAAAGUCACUGUUAAUACAUACUCGCCUUCUCCUUUCCUCCGCGCACAUCUGUCGCGCCACAGUUAAAUAACUCGAAUGAUCGCGAAGGAUUUAGCCGUCACGCGUUCCUCUCUCUUUAUAGCGACUGUAAGAGCGUGCGCGCGCGCACACACACAAGAGACCACGAGUCGAGCGAACCAGGCGCGAUGCAGCGUCGCUGUGUGCAAAAAGUCGGAAAGACGAACGGAUCGUUACU